AUUGAACGCUGGCGGCACGCCUAACACAUGCAAGUCGAGCGGUAGCAUGCUUAGUAGCAAUACUAAGUGGUGACGAGCGGCGGACGGGUGAGGAACACGUAGGAACCUGUCCUUCAGAGGGGGAUAACUAAGGGAAACUUUAGCUAAUACCGCAUAAUCUCGAGAGAGCAAAGGUGCCAGCAAUGGUGCCACUGAAGGAGGGGCAUGCGUCCGAUUAGCUAGUUGGUAGGGGAAUGGCCUACCAAGGCGAUGAUCGGCAACUGGUCUGAGAGGCCGACCAGUCACACUGGGACGGAGACACGGCCCAGACUCCUACGGGAGGCAGCAGUGGGGAAUAUUGGACAAUGGGCGCAACCCUGAUCCAGCGAUGCCGCGGGAGUGAAGAAGGCCUUCGGGUUGUAAAGCUCUUUAGGUUGGGAAGAAGUAGUUUAGGUUAAUACCCUAGAUUAUUGACGGUACCGACAGAAUAAGCACCGGCAAACUCUGUGCCAGCAGCCGCCGUAA
rnacentral:rRNA from 1 species